CCUACGGGAGGCAGCAGUGGGGAAUAUUGGGCAAUGGAGGAAACUCUGACCCAGCGACGCCGCGUGCGGGAUGAAGGCCUUCGGGUUGUAAACCGCUUUCAGUAGGGAAGAAGCGAAAGUGACGGUACCUACAGAAGAAGCACCGGCUAACUAUGUGCCAGCAGCCGCGGUAAUACAUAGGGUGCAAGCGUUGUCCGGAAUUAUUGGGCGUAAAGAGCUCGUAGGUGGUUCGUCACGUCGGAUGUGAAAAUCUGGGGCUCAACCCCAGACCUGCAUUCGAUACGGGCGAUCUAGAGUGUGGUAGGGGAGACUGGAAUUCCUGGUGUAGCGGUGGAAUGCGCAGAUAUCAGGAGGAACACCAAUGGCGAAGGCAGGUCUCUGGGCCAUUACUGACACUGAGGAGCGAAAGCGUGGGGAGCGAACAGGAUUAGAUACCCUGGUAGUCCACGCCGUAAACGGUGGGCACUAGUUGUGGGAACCUUCCACGGUUUCUGCGACGCAGCUAACGCAUUAAGUGCCCCGCCUGGGGAGUACGAUCGCAAGAUUAAACUCAAAGGAUUGACGGCUGAGACGNGCCGACGACGACGACGAGGGAGGUAGG
rnacentral:rRNA from 1 species